rfam:Lepisosteus oculatus linkage group LG8, whole genome shotgun sequence.
GUCAGCAGCCAUAUCACCCUGCAUCUCACAACUGGCAGCCCACUGAAGCUAAGCAGGUGUGAGCCUGGUCAGUACCUGGAUGGGAGACCUCCUAGGAAAGCUAAUUUGCUGCUGGAA